UCAAAAAUUUUAGCCCAAAAUUGAACUGAAUGGACCGAACUGGUUGAACCGGGGUCCAAACCGAAAACGUGGGUCCAACCGGACCCAUAACUUAAAAGAAGCAGCAGCUUCUUCUUCCCCAUUACAUGCACACGACGCCAAACAGAAAAGGGAGGAGAAGGAGCUUCCCUAACCCUCAUCAAAUCUUCUCACUACCAUAACUUCUCCGUUCGAGCUCCGAUCGCCGCACCGUUCGCGGCCACGCGUCUAGUGCGUCGAGAUCUACAUUUCUAUCAAAUCAAUUUCACCAGUUCGAUUUAGCUUGCGGAGCUUACUGGGUUUGAGUUGCUACGCGUGUGGGAGCGAUGCAGGUCGAGAGGCUCCUUGUUAGGCGUCUGGAUCUUGAAGCGAAGUAGUCCCUGGGUUAUUUUGGGCUUUAUAAUUGUAUAUAUUUAUGUACCUAUGUACUUAGCUUGCUCUCCAAAAAUUUUGUUUAUUUUGUUCCUCCUAGAGGUUAAAGGAGAGCUAGGACCUUAUUUUGAGUUUUAAGUACUUUGGGAUAUCUAUAUGUGUAUGUAUAUAUAUUCUCCGGCCAGCCUUAGCUUCGCAGGCUGAGUCAGGAGCUAGUUAUGCUGUU